GAUGAACGCUGGCGGCGUGCCUAAUACAUGCAAGUAGAACGCUGAAGCUUGGUGCUUGCACCGAGCGGAGGAGUUGCGAACGGGUGAGUAACGCGUAGGUAACCUGCCUCUUAGCGGGGGAUAACUAUUGGAAACGAUAGCUAAUACCGCAUAAAAGUCGACAUUGCAUGAUGUUGACUUGAAAGGUGCAAAUGCAUCACUAAGAGAUGGACCUGCGUUGUAUUAGCUAGUUGGUGAGGUAACGGCUCACCAAGGCGACGAUACAUAGCCGACCUGAGAGGGUGAUCGGCCACACUGGGACUGAGACACGGCCCAGACUCCUGCGGGAGGCAGCAGUAGGGAAUCUUCGGCAAUGGACGGAAGUCUGACCGAGCAACGCCGCGUGAGUGAAGAAGGUUUUCGGAUCGUAAAGCUCUGUUGUAAGAGAAGAACGAGUGUGAGAGUGGAAAGUUCACACUGUGACGGAACUACCAGAAAGGACG
rnacentral:rRNA from 1 species